UGGGGUCACUGUGGCCGAGCUCUGGGGACCUCAGUGCUGUGUGGGGUCACUGUGGCCGAGCUCUGGGGACCUCAGUGCUGUGUGGGGUCACUGGGGCCGAGCUCUGGGGACCUCAGUGCUGUGUUGGGGUCACUGGGGCCGAGCUCUGGGGACCUCAGUGCUGUGUGGGGUCACUGUGGCCGAGCUCUGGGGACCUCAGUGCUGUGUGGGGUCACUGGGGCCGAGCUCUGGGGACCUCAGUGCUGUGGGUGCUGCGACUCGCCCCACUCUCAGGCUGCACCCCACGUGCCCUGAGUCCCCUCCCCGCCGGGCUGUGGUGUCUAAGGACCAGUGAUGGCCCUCAGUUUCCCAGUGUUUCCACCCAAAGCAGAGCAAGCAGAGGGCAAUGUCGCUCGUGGAGCUGGCUCAGACAGUGGGCACUGAGUCCACUGCAGGGGCAUUGAGCUCAACUCAGGGGAGGCGUCUGGAGUCCCCAGCAGCAAGCCCGGAGGCUCACAUCACAGGGGCGGUACUGGCCGGGAAGUGGCCCCGGGAGGCCACGCUCAGAGCGGGAAGUGAGCUGGAGAAAAGGAAAGCCCAGGAGGAGGAGUCCUAUCAAGAAGUGUUCAGAGGGCAGCUGGCACUUUGGGGGCGGGAGUGCACAUUGCCUGUGCUCACACUCACGGCGUGAGCACAGACUGAUUCUCACACUCACGGCGUGAGCACAGACUGAUUGAUUCUCACACUCACGGAGUGAGCACAGACUGAUUCUCACACUCACGGAGUGAGCACAGACUGAUUGAUUCUCACACUCACGGAGUGAGCACAGACUGAUUAUCACACUCACGGAGUGAGCACAGACUGAUUGAUUCUCACACUCACGGAGUGAGCACAGACUGAUUCUCACACUCACGGAGUGAGCACAGACUGAUUCUCACACUCACGGAGUGAGCACAGACUGAUUGAUUCUCACAGUGCUGAGGUCAGAAACCCACCCAGGUCUCCCGGGCUGACAGCAAGGUGUGGCUGGCUCCUGGGGGCUCAGGAGGACCUGUCUCUUGUCUCCAGCUCCUGGAAGGGCCUGUGGCCCUGGGCUGGUGGCCUCUCUGACUCUCCUCUGCCUCGCCCUUCCACUCCCAAGGACCCCCAUGAUGGCACCAGUUCCAUUGGCUGGUCCAACACAACCCCUCUGUGCAAGGGGCAGCUGAUCAGCAGCUUUGAUUCAAUCCGCAACCUUAAUUUGCCACAUUCAGGAAGAGACAGGUUUCAGGGUUGGGACCUCGACGUUUGUGGGUGGUGACUUCCCACCACACCAAGAAGAGCCUGUGGCUCAGAAUGUGCUGUCCAGAGGAGACCGGGCAGCACAUUCAUGGCCAAGGGCCACUGGACACCGGUGACGCUCCCUCCUGGCCAUACCAUGCCUGCCAGCCCAGCCAGCUUCGGCUGCUGGAGGAUGGCCACAGGCAGAGCGUCCCGUGGACACUGGACAGAGGCCCCAAUGCAGUGCCACUGGCCCAUGGAGCUCAGGCCAACCAGAAGCCACACUGGACAGAGACCCUGAUGCAGUGCCACUGGCCGCCUCACCCAGGAGGGGUGCAUGUGGCACCCUGGCCCUGGUGAGCCCCUGGGCAGGGGCAGGACUCAGACUCAGGCUCUCUGCUCACCCCAUCUUGCCCCUCAGAAGGAAGGCAGUCUCGGGACACCCCAUCCUCUAACUGCACCCUGCUUCCUGUCCCCCUCCACAGGGACCCAGGGUGCAGCUCGAGCCCAGGGCAGAUGGCCUGGGUCCCAGUGAGACCCACGGGGGCUGGACCUUCACUCUGGCUCUUCACAGGAGAGGGGUUGAGGCCCAAGUCCUCCCCGUUCAGGAGCCGUCCGCCUGUGGAGUGGGCCGAGUCGGGCCCCUGGUCCGUGCACAAAGACUCUUCAUUCCUCAGACCCCAAAGUGCCUAAGUCCUUGCCACCAGCCAGCUCUCCCCCAGUGCUACUCACCCACCAGCCUGGGACCAUGGGCUGGCACAUCCAGCCCCGAGGGGAGCCCACGGAAGGGCACCCAGGCCCAUGAGAGCCUCGGGCUUCAGCCACCGACUUCCGUCCCCUUCCUUCGUCCCCCUGAAAGCUGGCCUAGAGACCCCCACCAGAAGCCCUGCUCCAAAGGCCCUUCCUGUGCCCUGUGCUGGGCUCCCUGCCUGGCGGGAGGGCCCUGCUCCCGCUGCCCCCGCAUCCCCUUCCCUGCUCACCAUCUCCUCUCCCCUCCCCCUCUGGCUCUUCCUCAUGUCCCCCAGGUCCCCUGCUCUUCUCCGUCACCACCUCUUCAUAUUCGUCAUCCUGUGCGGGGUCAGGAGGGCGGGGAGUCUAGCCCAGGAGGGAAACGGGCCAGAGGGGCUCAGGGGAGCGUGUGCUAAUGGGGCUCCCCUCUCGACCACCCACAAACAUGCCCCCACAGGCUCACACACACGAACACGGGGCACACCCACUCAGCCCACGUGCACACACCCCCCCUUGCACACUCACACUCUUGCACACACGCUCACAGGUGUUGUCCACGUCAUUCUCGCAGCCAGCGCCCACCAGACCCAAGGGUGAGGAGCAAGGUGGCAGCUGACGGGCCCAGGACUCCCAGAGUCGGCUGAGGCCUCACCCAUCACCUGGCUGCCCCUAGGAACUUGUGUCCCGGGCAUGGACGGACCCACAGGGUUUCCACUAGAAGGAAGUUUUCACCCCGUGAGUGAAGGAGUCCCGGACUCCUCACAUGUCACCUCCCAUCCCGCAGCCCUCCCCACCCCCUCGGCCUGUGCCCCCUCGUGGAUCUCCCCCAUCCACACCUCUGGCCCUCCUCCAGCUGGGGCCCCUGCAGCCACUUCCUCUGCACCCAUCAGCCCCUGCUCUCCUGGACCCCCCUGUGAGGGCCCUGAUGGAGGUCACCAGGCAAGCCCCAGGUGGCCUCUUCCCACCUCACCCUGAGACUCAGCUCUGUACAGCGAGGCACAGGCCUCGUUCAGUGGACAGGGUGGUCAGCAGCUUAGCCAGGGAGGGGGCAUAGAGGGGCUUCCUUUCCUUUCGGCUCCUGGAACCAUCGGUCCCCUGAGUCACUGUGGGGGAGACCAUCGGGCCUCUUUUGGGCCAGGAAUUUAUUUGAAACAGGAAGCAAAGGUCUAAAAAUAAUGUGUUUCCACUCCACGGACCAAGUCUGGUCCAAUAUCCUGUGUGCACCUAACUGCUCCAGACCACAGUGCUGGGGUCAGCCUCAUUCAUGCCCUUCCUGAACCACCAUGUAAGGUCACCGUCCGGCUCACCCAGGUUCAGAAACAGGCUCAGAAGUGGAGGCACUGGGGCUCAGAACUGUGGGCCAACUUGCCCAAGGCACACAGAUUCUGAGCAAAGUCAGGACCCAGCCUAGG
rnacentral:lncRNA from 1 species